GAGGAGAGAAGAGAAGAGAAGAGAAGAGAAGAGAAGAGAAGAGAAGAGAAGAGAAGAGAAGAGAUCUGUUAGGGAAAUUGGCUCACGUGAUUAUGAAGGCUGAAAAGUUCCCCAGUAUGCCAGCCAUCUGCAAGCUGAAGAUGAAGCAAUGCCAGUAGCAUGACUCAGUCCAAGUUUGAAGGCCUCAGAACCAGAGAAGCCAAUGUUGUGUCUCUCAGCCCGAGACCAAAAACCUGACAACCCAGGGGAUUGCUGGUGUAAGUCCCAGAGUCCAAAGGUAGGAGAAUCUGGAGUUCUGAUAUCCAAGGGCAGUGGAAGACACAUGUCUCAUCUCUGAGAGACAAUGCAAAUUCACCCUUCCUGUGUCUUUUUGUUUUAUCCAGGCCCCCAGCUGACUGGAUAUUGCCCAUGCACAUUGAGAGUAGAUCUUCCCCACACAGUUCAUCAAUUUACAAGCCAAUUUCCUCCAGAAAUACCCUCGCAGACAUACCAAGAAACACUGCUGUACCAGUAUCCAGGUAUGCCUUCAUCUGGUCAGAUUAACACCUAAAAUUAACCAUCACACUACCAGCGGGAACACACAGAGGUCUGAGCUCUGAUGAUGAGACUCCUGUGAGGUGAACUAAUGUGACAGAGCAUAAAACAAUAUACAAAUUAUAUGGACCCUAACAUUAAGACUUUUUGAAACCUUCCCAGAUGUCAGGUGGCUCUUUUAACAGAGGCCAUUCCUGUAGGCUGACAUCCAGUUAUCCAGAGUUUGAGAAAAGAUAAAAUCUAAUAAAAGGAACUUAGAGGCAAAUUUGAGGAGAUGAGUUCUAAAGGACACCAGACUGCCAUGAGAAUGUCCCUUAGACUACAUAAAUAUUAGAAACAAUUAAAACAGCAUAAAAAUGAAGAAUUGUAUCCUAAUGGGAACAAAAUAUGCAGAGAGGAAUGCAUUUUCUUUCUAAAAUUCUGCAAAGAGCAUAUGCACUUAUGUCAUUAAAAGUAGUCUACAGAUUAUUCCCAUUCUGAGCUAUUAAUUGUAUAUAUGCCCUAUAAAAUAUUGCUGUACAUAUCAUAAAUUACAUAUAUUCACUCUCUCUCUAUAUAUAUAUAUACACACACACUUUAUUUUUGUGGAGAAUGGAAGGGGUGUGGCAGGUUAACUUUGCAGCUCAACUAUUUGUCAGGGGCACUGAUGUUAUCGAGUCACUGAGAACCUAAGUUCUAUUUCCCCGAGCAGGGCUGGGAGACAUGAGAUCCUGGCCUGGACCUGAAAUGGGCACAAGGUUCUUCUUCUAUGUGGCCCUUUGUCUCCUGUGGACAGGACACAUGGAUGCUGGAAUCACCCAGAGCCCAAGACACAAGAUCACAGAGACAGGAACACCAGUGACUCUGAGAUGUCACCAGACUGAGAACCACCGCUAUAUGUACUGGUAUCGACAAGACCUGGGGAAUGGGCUGAGGCUGAUCCAUUACUCAUAUGGUGUUGAAGACACUGACAAAGUAGAAGUCUCAGAUGGCUACAGUGUCUCUAGAUCAAAGACAGAGGAUUUCCUCCUCACUCUGGAGUCCACUACCCGUUCCCAGACAUCUGUGUACUUUUGUGCCAGCAGUGAAUCCACAGUGCUGCACGGCUGCCUCCUCUCUGCACGUAAAGGGCAGUUAGACUGAGGUUGUUCUGUGUCUGUCCCCACCCUGGGCAGUCCAGGCCUCCACAGGAGUCAGAGAGCCCUGGCCAGCCUGGAGGCCAUAGAGCAGGGGCCUUAGGACCCUCAGUGCUGACGUCCAUUCCUACCCCAGUCUCAAACCAACUGGAGGUCACCCCAACACCCUUAGC